ACUCCUACGGGAGGCAGCAGUGAGGAAUAUUGGUCAAUGGACGCAAGUCUGAACCAGCCAUGCCGCGUGCAGGAAGAAUGCCCUAUGGGUUGUAAACUGCUUUUUAUUUGGGAAGAAACCUCUUUACGUGUAGAGAGCUGACGGUACCAAACGAAUAAGCACCGGCUAACUCCGUGCCAGCAGCCGCGGUAAUACGGGAGGGUGCAAGCGUUAUCCGGAAUCAUUGGGUUUAAAGGGUCCGCAGGCGGGCUUAUAAGUCAGUGGUGAAAUCUCUCGGCUCAACCGAGAAACUGCCAUUGAUACUGUAGGUCUUGAAUUCGGUCGAAGUGGCGGAAUGAGUAGUGUAGCGGUGAAAUGCAUAGAUAUUACUCAGAACACCGAUAGCGAAGGCAGCUCACUAGGCCUGGAUUGACGCUGAGGGACGAAAGCGUGGGGAGCGAACAGGAUUAGAUACCCCUGGUAGGAUAGCG
rnacentral:rRNA from 1 species